GUCUAUGGCCACACCCCCCUGAACAUGCCAGCUCUCUUCUGACUUCAGAGGCUAAGCAGGGUCAGACCUAAUUAGUACCUGGAUGGUAGAAAAAGGCCUUCCAAAUAGAAGUUCAAGGAGGUGAAUUUUGACU
ensembl:rRNA 5S_rRNA 5S ribosomal RNA